rnacentral:lncRNA from 1 species
UACCAAAUAGCCAUUUUCAUAUCAUAUCAUAACUUUCACUAGCAUAAUAUUAUCAACACAAAGAAAUAAAUUAAAUGAGAUAAACCACUUGCACCUCAAAAUCCUGCCUUAAACCUUUGAAAUCUUGAAGCUGCCCAAAAAUUUAUAUAAGGAUUUUGCUUUCUUCCUAAAAGAUGGAGGAUUAUAAAGGUACUUUUUAAAACUGAUUUUGUUGUUGGAAAUAAAACAAAAGUAAAAUGAUAAUUUUAUAGUGGAAGAUAAACUAAGAGAUAUUUGAAAUGGGAAAAAGAAAUGUGAGUUUAUGCAAUAAUGUGAGGUGGUUAGAAGUUAGUGGGAACAUGAGAGAUAAUGGGUGGAUUUAUUCAACUAACAAAUAAUGUGAGCACACGGAAAAUUAAAUUCGGUGGUUAAUAGGAAAUAACAAAUACGAUACAUCCAAUAUUUUUCAAACUUAAGGUUAAACAUUGAUUUAUAUAAUGUAACAUUACUUUCUUUUCCUAAUUAUCUUAAAAGUUAUUUUAUCAAGUAAUAAAAUAAUACCUAUUAAUUAUUGAAAUAACUUGGACUUAUAUGAAAUAACUAUUUAUGGAGUCAAAGACUUUUAAUUACAGUCGCAAAAGGAGUCCAAUAUUGAUAUAUUAAUUAUCACUUUAUCAAUAAUGAAUUACUCGACCCAAAAUAUUAUUGGAUUUAAUACUAUUUUACCUUAGUCCAUCAACUUUCCAAAAUUAUAGUUUUAUUCUAUAAAAUUUUCGAGGCGCUACAAAAAUCACACAAUGGAAAGACUCAAGUUGAACAAAGUCUUGAGACCAAAAUGAAGGUGGGCAAAACAUAGAGGCUCUGCAACACCUUAACACUACAAAGCAUAUCAAAAAAUGACAUCAACAUAUUAUUUAACUAGAAUGCAAAUGAUGUGCCAUAAGUGUAAAGAAUGAAAAUUCGUCAAUGAAAGAGUUGAAAAUGAGUAAAGGGCAUGGAACCAUGAAGUUGCUAACAGCAAGCUCUUCAAGAUCAUCAGAGAUUUUGAACAAAAAUAGUGAGGAAGCAUGGAAACCUUAAAACUGAAGAUCAUCGUGUCAACAAAUCCUUCUCAACUGUGCCCUCACAAACUCUAUCUGCCUCAGCACAGUUAUGGAACUGGAAGGAUGACUAAUAAUUUGCAGUGUUUGUAGGAAAAGAGAAUUCCCUUCCCAUUCCUGAAAAUAACAAUAUCCUCAUCUUCCGGCUCGAAAGUCUAGUUUCAUGAAACCAAGAAUGACAGAGGAAUGCUGUUUAUCCUCCACUGAAGCCCCACUGACAGAAAAUGGAGUAAAACUAGGCGCAGUGAGUUAAAAAUGUAAAAUUGGAAGCUUAAAUGGGUACAUACAUAUAUAUACACGGGUUAAGAGAAUGGUGGGUGGGGGAGAACUUGAUUCGCUGUUCGACUUUUAUGUAAGAUUGUGUUGGGGAAACAGUUGGAAAAAAUGAGUAAAUGGCUCACUUUUGACACAAUUUUCAGUGGGACCCGUUGGUCCAAUUUGGAAGAUC